UUGGGGCAGGUGAAGGGGGUUGGUGUUUGAGGGUUGUGAGGGAUAGCUAUAGGGUGGGGUUGUGGAAGACUAUUAGAAUUGGGUGAGAGAUUUUUAGACAUAGAUCUCACUUCAUAGUGGGUAAUGGAUGGAGAGUAAUGUUUUGUAAAGAUAGUUGGCAUGGACAAAGUUCUUUGGGAGGGUCAUUUCUGGUGCUAUUCUCUAUAGCCGUUGGUAAAGACUUUUGGGUUGCAAAAAUGUAGGAGCGGGUCAGGGAAGGAAGCAGUGGAACACAUCUGUUUUCACAGACAGUUUCAUGAUUGGGAAUUGGUAGAAGAGGAAGUUUUUUUUCUUUUUUGGAGACUGCAUACGAGCUCAAUUAGUAGGGAUGAGGAGGAUAGAUUGGAUUGGAAAGAAACUAAUUGCAGCAAAUUCUGUGUCAAAUCUUUCCACAAUUCCUUAAUUCAAAGGAAAAAUGAGUUUUUCCCUUGCAAGCAUAGUUUGGAACCCAUGUGUUUCAACGAAAGUGAGUUUUUUUCUUGGGAAGCUAUUUGGGGAAGAAUUUUAAUGUUGAUCAACUCGGAAGGAGGAACUGGAUUUUUCUGGAUAAAUGUUACGUGUAUAUAGGGGAAGAAGAGUCGGCUUAUUUCAUGCUCCUUCACUGCUCCAAAGUGAGAAUUCUGUGGCCCAGGUGAAGCACUUUUCAGUAAGAGGAAAGCUCUUGUGUUGAUAUGUUCUUUUGUUGGGAAGAAGUGGAAGCAAACAUGGAGGACCACUCCUUUGUGUCUACUUUGGAUGUUAUGGAAGGAAAGGAAUAGGAGUCCAUUAAAAAAUACAGAAUAACCGGAUCAAGAAUCAAAUCUUUCUUUUGGUGUAGCUUUUUGGAUUGGGCUAGAGUAUACAUAGGUUAUUAUUCCUUGACCAUGAAAAGCUCUAUAGAUUGGUAGAGUCCCAAAUAGGGAGAGGCAGUUGUUUUUUAUUUUCUCUCUCCCUUUUUGCUUGACUAUUGAGUAUUGGCGUUUAUUUUAUACAUUGUCUGUACUUAAUAUGUCCUUUUUCAGGCACUUUUGAUGUCUUCUUGUUUGCCUAUUAAAAAAAUUAAAAAGAAAAAAAGAAAAAUUCAGCUAUAGAUUCACAGACUGAAAACUGUGGAUAAAAGUAGAGGAGAGACAUAUACUGUUGGCUCAAAAAUGAUUAUAGUCGUUCGUGCUUUAGGAUAGGUGGAAGAGGCUUACCAUAUGCAUGUUUUGGUGGACUACUUUUUGUGAUCCUUCAGUUAAAAAUUUUGUGUGGAUUGGUUAGGGGCUAGUUGAGGGGUGUUGUUUUUUGUUAGUCCCUCUAUCUUUUUGUUGGUGUUGUUGGUGCUCUUUGUAUACUUCCUGUGUAUUUUGAGGUGCUCUUUUGGUGAUUUUCUUUUUAAGACACGUUUUUUCUUACCUAUCAAAAAAAAAAAGUUUAGAGCUGGUGAAAUAAAAAGCUUUUGUGGCAUUGCAUGAAGACAUCAUUGAUGACUGCAUCAAGAUGAUGAUAAUCAAAUUUGUGUUAUGUCCAUAUCAUGUGUCUAUUGAAUUUUUAAACCAUAAAAAAAUAUAAUAAAUCAAAUCAAUAUCUGAAUCACAUCACGUUCUUUUACUUUUCUCGUUUCAUAGCAUCUGUUACUUGUUUCCCUUGUGUGCUAUUCUUUCAGCCUGAAUCUUAAUAUGUUUCCAGGAGAGAUUUGUAUGUAUUAGUCUUGUUCUAUUUGCCAUUUGUCAUGUCAUGGAUAUUGAUAUUCAUGACUAAUUCCAACCAUAUCUCCAAAAUUUUGGGAUAGGCAUUAUCUCAAACUGUAUUGAGUGAUUGAUCUAUUCGGAUUCAUGCUUAGUAGAUUCCUGUUGUUUUGGCUUCAUUGUUGUAACUGCAUGUUUUGUAUCGAACUUCGUAGGUUGGGAAUUGAUCAAGCAUAAGUUUCCAAAUCCUUUGGCAAAUAUAUAAGACCAAAUUGUACUUGUUUAAGACUGGAUUAUGAAAAAACUUGAUGGACUAGCCAACUUUGACAUCUUACUCAUAGCAUGUUUAAUAGGGGUAUUAAUGGUCCUGAUUUGCAGCAACAAUUUGUGCACACACGCAUCUUCAGAGCUUUCUAUAUCUUUUGUUAGGAAAAGAAGCAGUCAUGGAGUAGUUUGAUGCUUGUAUUCUGAACCUUGCAUUUGUAUUUUUUUUUUCUACACCCAUGCAGUUGAAUCCAUUCUAAUAGGCUAACGAACCUAUUAUCUAGAUAUGACCAAUCUGGAUAGGUGAAGAGGAUUAAGUGGAAGCAAGGUAGCCUCUUUUUUGAUAUUAAGUAUAGGUGAAAGAAAAUUGUCCAUUCACAUGUGAGUUGCUGUAGAGUACUCUCCUGUUUGACAGCAGGCUGCACAAUCCAACUUUGAUUCCAGUCUUCAAUGGAAGCAGCUAGGCUGAGAUGGAGGACUCUCUCACUCUGUCUAUCCUUGGUCCACCUUGGUUCUAAGUUUGGGAAGGUUCCCUCCUCUCUACCUCAGACUCUAAAGGGUUUAAGGAGGGAAGGACCUUCUUCCUCUUUCAAGUGCAUUGAUCUCGAGAGGGGAAUCUUUCCCCAUCUCUGCCUUGGGGUUUUCCCCCAAGGGAGAGGUACUUACCUUGGUUCCAUAAUGAUAAUGAGGACCUCUCCUUUAUACUCUAGGGUUGGUUCCUUGAUGUUAUCUCCUAUAGCCUUGUGAGGGUCACCUUGUACUCUUCCAUAUAUUCCAAUGCCAUAUCAGGCAGAAUGCUUGUGGAGCCAGCUGUGAGAUACUUUUAUUUGGGCGUAUGGAUGUAGAAAGGGCUGUGAAAACAAGAAGGCAGAGGGGUCAUCUUGGCCAAAAAAAUGUCAAACUCCAAGGGGAAAACGACACUUGAUAAUUGUCUUGAUAUUUCUGACUACUGUGCCAAUCCACGUCCACUGGAUUUGUUUACUAUUAUUUCUUCAUUGGUGUUGUUCAGGCGAGUGGAUCUCCUCGGUAUCUUCAGUCCUAGCAGCUUUACAUUCAUUAGUUUCCUUGCAGCUUCAUCAACCAAAGUGAUUUGGUGAAAAAACCAAAGAAGUCAGAAUAUUUGCCAUGGUACAGGUUAUGGUGACUUCCUUCAUCCUGCCAAUACCUCUUCAAUCCAAAAGAAAGACAUGGUGGCCACUAUGGCUAGCGUUCAUCUGUGUUUUUUAUUUUUUUAAUUCAUAGUUUAUUUUAUUUUUGUUUUUUGUUUCUUAAUUUUUAAAGAACUAGUUAUUAGGCAUUUGUGAACAUUUAUUUGAAGAAAUUGUAGGGCUUUUUCAAUAUUUAAGAUGUCGGCAAUCCUGUAAACAGAAGCUGGAGAUAGAUGUAAUAUCAAAUAUUCUAUGGUGUCUUUGUGUCACCUUUGUGGGAUU